rnacentral:rRNA from 1 species
GAUGAACGCUGGCGGCGUGCUUAACACAUGCAAGUCGAACGGAAAGGCCAGUGCUUGCACUGGUACUCGAGUGGCGAACGGGUGAGUAACACGUGGGUGAUCUGCCCUGCACUUCGGGAUAAGCCUGGGAAACUGGGUCUAAUACCGGAUAGGACAAUGGUUUGGAUGCCGUUGUGGAAAGUUUUUUCGGUGUGGGAUGAGCUCGCGGCCUAUCAGCUUGUUGGUGGGGUAAUGGCCUACCAAGGCGUCGACGGGUAGCCGGCCUGAGAGGGUGUACGGCCGCAUUGGGACUGAGAUGCGGCCCAGACUACUACGGGGGGCAGCAGUGGGGAAUAUUGCGCAAUGGGCGCAAGCCUGAUGCAGCGACGCCGCGUGGGGGAUGACGGCCUUCGGGUUGUAAACUCCUUUCGCUAGGGACGAAGCGUAUUUGUGACGGUACCUGGAGAAGAAGCACCGGCUAACUACGUG